rnacentral:rRNA from 1 species
ACAUCCAGAGAACUUAGCAGAGAUGCUUUGGCGCCUUCGGGAACUCUGAGACAGGUGCUGCAUGGCUGUCGUCAGCUCGUGUUGUGAAAUGUUGGGUUAAGUCCCGCAACGAGCGCAACCCUUAUCCUUUGUUGCCAGCGGUUCGGCCGGGAACUCAAAGGAGACUGCCGGUGAUAAACCGGAGGAAGGUGGGGAUGACGUCAAGUCAUCAUGGCCCUUACGGCCAGGGCUACACACGUGCUACAAUGGCGCAUACAAAGAGAAGCGACCUCGCGAGAGCAAGCGGACCUCAUAAAGUGCGUCGUAGUCCGGAUUGGAGUCUGCAACUCGACUCCAUGAAGUCGGAAUCGCUAGUAAUCGUAGAUCAGAAUGCUACGGUGAAUACGUUCCCGGGCCUUGUACACACCGCCCGUCACACCAUGGGAGUGGGUUGCAAAAGAAGUAGGUAGCUUAACCUUCGGGAGGGCGCUUACCACUUUGUGAUUCAUGACUGGGGUGAAGUCGUAACAAGGUAGGCGUAGCGAG